rnacentral:lncRNA from 1 species
GUUGUCUUAUUUUUGCAAACCAGUGCAGUUCUUUCCCGUGCUCCCUCUCGCUACCGCAAGCUGUAUUUCUCAGCCAGAGCACUUCAGAAUAGAUUGCUCGACUGCCUGCAUUAGCACGGCCUCUCCUGCCUUCGCUCUGCCCUCUCUGGAUUAGUGGGGACUCGGCCCAGUCACACCGGUGGCUGCCAAGCGUUCUCUCCCCGGCUCCGCUCUGCAGAGAGCAAUGCUAGAGCCUGUGAGUGGCCAGGUAUGUUUUGUUCCUCUUGUGCAGUGUAUGUGGUUGCAUAAGGGACACACCAACACUACCUACAUCCAAAUUGUCAUCCUCCACAGAACCUGUGAGUAAGUGUGAUAAGAUGACAAAGGGGAAUUACAAAUCAGCUGACCUUACGAUGAGCAGAUGAUACAGGAUUUUUCAGGUGGGACCAAUACAAAAUCAUGAAUGUCCUUAAAUGUGCAGCUGGGGGGUCUUCCUGGGUAAGAAGGCUGCAAGUUGAGGGAGGUAGGCAGAAUGGAAUUCUCCCUUAGA